rnacentral:misc_RNA from 1 species
GAUGAAGAACGUAGCGAAAUGCGAUAAGUAAUGUGAAUUGCAGAAUUCAGUGAAUCAUCGAAUCUUUGAACGCACCUUGCGCUCCUUGGUAUUCCGAGGAGCAUGCCUGUUUGAGUGUCAUGAAAUUCUCAACCUUUCUGGCUUUUGCUAGUCAGGCUUGGAUUAUGGGUGCUGCUGGCUUUUGAAGUCGGCUCUUCUAAAAUGUAUUAGCAAGAUCAUUGCUGCUCAUCAUUGGUAUGAUAAUUAUCUAUAUCAUUGAGAGUCAGUUUCCUUUAUUGGAAGAUUUUGCUCCUAACGGUCUUUAGCAAGACAACAUUUGACGAUUUUGACCUCAAAUCAGGUAGGACUACCCGCUGAACUUAAGCAUAUCAAUAAGCGGAGGA